GCAUUGGAGGUUCAGUGGUAGAAUCCUUGCCUCUCAUGUGGGAGACCUGGGUUCGAUUCCCAGCCAAUGUA
rnacentral:tRNA from 1 species